UACGUAGGGACCAAGCGUUGUUCGGAUUUACUGGGCGUAAAGGGCGCGUAGGCGGCUUGACAAGUCACUUGUGAAAUCUCCGGGCUUAACUCGGAACGGCCAAGUGAAACUGUCAUGCUAGAGUGCAGAAGGGGCAAUCGGAAUUCUUGGUGUAGCGGUGAAAUGCGUAGAUAUCACAUAGAACACCAAUUGCGAAGGCAGCUCGUUACACGAAUAUUGACACUGAUGCACGAAAGCGUGGGGAUCAAACAGG
rnacentral:rRNA from 1 species